CUACGGGCUGCUGCAGUGAGGAAUAUUGCACAAUGGGGGGAACCCUGAUGCAGCAACGCCGCGUGGAGGAUGACGCAUUUCGGUGUGUAAACUCCUUUUAUAUGUCAAGAAAAUGACGGUAGCAUAUGAAUAAGCACCGGCUAACUCCGUGCCAGCAGCCGCGGUAAUACGGAGGGUGCAAGCGUUACUCGGAAUCACUGGGCGUAAAGGAAGCGUAGGCGGGUUGGAAAGUCAGGUGUGAAAUCCUACAGCUUAACUGUAGAACUGCACUUGAAACUUCUAAUCUAGAGUAUGGGAGGGGGAGAUGGAAUUAGUGGUGUAGGGGUAAUAUCCGUAGAUAUCACUAGGAAUACCUAAAGCGAAGGCGAUCUCCUGGAACAUUACUGACGCUAAGGCGUGAAAGCGUGGGGAGCAAACAGGAUUAGAUACCCGAGUAGUC
rnacentral:rRNA from 1 species